ACAGCAGUAGCCGCGGUAAUACGAAGGGGGCUAGCGUUGUUCGGAAUUACUGGGCGUAAAGCGCACGUAGGCGGAUACUUAAGUUAGGGGUGAAAUCCCAGGGCUCAACCCUGGAACUGCCUUUAAUACUGGGUAUCUUGAGUUCGAGAGAGGUAAGUGGAAUUCCGAGUGUAGAGGUGAAAUUCGUAGAUAUUCGGAGGAACACCAAUGGCGAAGGCGGCUUACUGGCUCGAUACUGACGCUGAGGUGCGAAAGCGUGGGGAGCAAACAGGAUUAGAUACCCCCGUAGUCCCUGUCUCUUAUAC
rnacentral:rRNA from 1 species